AGCUUUGCGCAGUGGCAGUAUCGUAGCCAAUGAGGUUUAUCCGAGGCGCGAUUAUUGCUAAUUGAAAACUUUUCCUAAUUUUGCCUUGGAAGAGUGCAGUUGGUUAUCUUUCUGGUAAUGCUGAAAAAUAGUUGUUU